UACGAAGGGUGCAAACGUUGCUCGGAAUCAUUGGGCGUAAAGCGCACGUAGGCGGCCUCGCAAGUCUGAUGUGAAAUCCCUCGGCUCAACCGAGGACGUGCAUCGGAAACUGCGGGGCUUGAGUACUGAAGAGGAUCGCGGAAUUCCCGGUGUAGAGGUGAAAUUCGUAGAUAUCGGGAGGAACACCAAUGGCGAAGGCAGCUCGCUGGAACGGUACUGACGCUGAGGCGCGAAAGCGGUGGGGAGCAAACAGGG
rnacentral:rRNA from 1 species